rnacentral:lncRNA from 1 species
UUCGGCAGUCGACCGCUUUUCAAACGACGACCGUCGCUUUUCUAUUCGUUCAUCUAUUAUGUUGUUUCCACAGCGCUCCCGAUCUCCUUCUACCACCUCCCUUUCCUAUUCUUCCUUUCUUUAUUUUCACGAGCUAUAUAGUCUCCGCUUCCUCCCUCCCCCCGCUAACACACACGCAACCAAAAGAUGGCGUAGUUUCGGCGCGCGCUGUUUCAGUCCGUGCCGGGCUGUCAGCGGGAUCAGCCGCUCCGCCAAACAGCUGGCGCUCGUUGAAUAUAUUUUGCCUGUUUAAUUGUCACUUUAUUUUAGUAGGAUAAUUAGAGAGUGAAAUUUUAAUGAAGGGCUAAUGUGGUGUUUUUCUUCCGACCCGAGUGAGUGGUAAAUACGUGUCGCUAAAGUGUUGUUUUAUGUGUAAAUCUUUGUGCGGCAUGUUACGAGGCGCGAUCACGUGGUUAAACGAAACCAAGUGGCCCUUUGAAAAAUAUACGAAGACGGAAUCUUUUUAUAACAUCGUCCCUGAAGGGGAUAUUACACAAGACUUCAUCAAGAAAAAGAAUCCCGGGCUGCUUCUUUUGGUUCGUGGAUGACAUAAAUGACAACCCAGUCAAUUCCUGAUUGUGUGUGUGACUACCGUUCGUUCCGUCCGGGACCCUCUGAAGCGAUGAAUAGGUCGCUAAUGAGCAGCAAAAAGCAAAACGUUGGGCCUCACCCAGGGAAAAGGAAAAAUACGAAAUUAAACGAACGCAAGGGCGAGGAACGUGUAUAUAAAAAAAAUGUGUACAUCCGUCAUCAUGGCCUCCCUCCCACCUUUUAAACAUUUGGAUUUUUCAUAUUCAAAAUAAAAAAAAAAAUGUCGGCCACCCAUUUGCAAGGCAAAAAUCAAUAUUUCAAAGUAUUAAUUGUGUUGUUAUCGCAAUUACACAUCAACAAGCCGGAGACAAAUAAACUUUGACCGGCUACAUUGAAACUCAAAAUACAUAGCGCGCCGCCUAUUGUCAUUCAAAACGACGUCAACAAAAGAUAAAGAAUCCAUUUUUAUUUUUUAAAGUCACAAAUAUACUAUACAUAAACGAGAGGGGCGUGAUGUUGUCACCGUCGACGUGUUGGUGCGUGGUGAACCGAGAUCAUACAAAACACACUCGGCCGCCUCUAUAUAUGUACAGUUAAGAGUAGCCGGCCGACACAAUAGAAAAAAAGCUUUUUAUAUAUAUAUAUGUAUAGAGACACGAGCAAUAAUAGUAUAGCCCGAACAACAGAGACAGUAGUUGACUGCCAUUUCUUUUAUUAUCAUCAUCUUGUAUACACGUGUGUGUGUGUGUGUGUUGAGGCUUGAUGUAUGUAUUUAUUGUCAGCUUCUGUCUAUAUACUUGUAGAAUAUAUAUGAUUCUUUUAUAA